rnacentral:misc_RNA from 1 species
AUUGAAUGGUUUAGUGAGGCCUCCUGACUGGCGCCGAUGCUCUGGCAACAGAGCGCCGGAUGCCGGAAAGUUGGUCAAACUUGAUCAUUUAGAGGAAGUAAAAGUCGUAACAAGGUUUCCGUAGGUGAACCUGCGGAAGGAUCAUUACCGAUACCAUCCAAGAACGACUCUGUCGUUUGCUCUGUGAACUGUACCAAAUCAUUUAGGGGUCGGCCCUAGCAGGCCGUUAAAUGGCGAGCGGACGCACAGCCUGGCUGGCUGGCGGCCGCCUCGCCGGCCCCGCCGGUGUUUUGUUUCUUUAACAACGUACGUGUCGAUAGUCUGAUGUUCUUUCGGUCGCAUGACCGAUGGUAGUUGGAAAAAAGAAAAGACAACUUGUGGCGGUGGAUCUCUUGGCUCGCGCGUCGAUGAAGAACGCAGCCAGCUGCGAUAAGUAGUGUGAAUUGCAGAAUUCAGUGAAUCAUCGAAUCUUUGAACGCAAAUGGCGCUCUUGGGUUGUCCCAGGAGCAUGUCUGUCUGAGUGUCAUGAUGUUGAAACAAAUCGCAGCAGCAGCACCAACCAUGUUGCUUGCUUGCGGCGGCGUUGAGGCGUCACGGCCACAUUGCCGUGUCCCUUGAAAGGCAGAGAGGAGACUCGCUGCUUUGCAAAGCGGAGGCCAAAACUCAGUCAGACCUUCGCGAUGUGAUGCACAACAAUGCGAGUCGCCAGCAAGGCGAAAAACACCACUGUGUUGACCUCAGAUCAGGCAAGGCUACCCGCUGAAUUUAAGCAUAUUAAUAA